CCUACGGGAGGCAGCAGUGAGGAAUAUUGGUCAAUGGACGAGAGUCUGAACCAGCCAAGUAGCGUGAAGGAUGACUGCCCUAUGGGUUGUAAACUUCUUUUAUAUGGGAAUAAAAUGUUCCACGUGUGGGAUUUUGUAUGUACCAUAUGAAUAAGAAUCGGCUAACUCCGUGCCAGCAGCCGCGGUAAUACGGAGGGUCCGAGCGUUAUCCGGAUUUAUUGGGUUUAAAGGGAGCGUAGGUGGAUUGUUAAGUCAGUUGUGAAAGUUUGCGGCUCAACCGUAAAAUUGCAUUUGAAACUGGCAGUCUUGAGUACAGUAGAGGUGGGCGGAAUUCGUGGUGUAGCGGUGAAAUGCUUAGAUAUCACGAAGAACUCCGAUUGCGAAGGCAGUUCACUGGACUGCAACUGACACUGAGGCUCGAAAGUGUGGGUAUCAAACAGGAUUAGAUACCCGGGUAGUC
rnacentral:rRNA from 1 species